ACCAAUGGCGAUGCUCUAACCCUCUGAGCUAAGUGGGC
rnacentral:tRNA from 1 species